rnacentral:rRNA from 1 species
GACGAACGCUGGCGGCGUGCUUAACACAUGCAAGUCGAACGAAGUGGCGAACGGGUGAGUAACGCGUAAUCAACCUGCCCUUCAGCGGGGGACAACAGUUGUCACCGACUGCUACUACCGCAUACUGAAGGAGGUGAUUGCGUCUGCUUAGCUCGGUGGAGGGGUAACGGCCCACAAAGGCGAUGAUCAGUAGCCGGUCUGAGAGGAUGAACGGCAACAUGGGGACUGAGAAACGGCCCAGACUCCGAUGGGAGGCAGCAGUGGGGAAUCUUCCGCAAUGGACGAAAGUCUGACGGAGCAACGCCGCGUGAGUGAUGACGGCCUUCGGGUUGGAAAGCUCUGUUAAUCGGGACGCGGUACCGGAAUAGAAAGCCACGGCUAACUACGUGCCAGCAGCCGCGGUAAUUC